rnacentral:misc_RNA from 1 species
UGCGGUUUUACUCUUUUUUUUAUUGCUUUAUUAUUGUUCAUCCGUAUAAUUCGCCCUUCACGUAGUGGCUGAAUCAGAGAUUGGCUGCUGCAAAUAUUAAACACUCUUACUCAGGAGAGA